GAUGAACGCUGGCGGCGUGCCUAAUACAUGCAAGUCGAGCGAACGGACGAGAAGCUUGCUUCUCUGAUGUUAGCGGCGGACGGGUGAGUAACACGUGGAUAACCUACCUAUAAGACUGGGAUAACUUCGGGAAACCGGAGCUAAUACCGGAUGAUAUUUUUAACCGCAUGGUUCAAAAGUGAAAGACGGUCUUGCUGUCACUUAUAGAUGGAUCCGCUCUGCAUUAGCUAGUUGGUAAGGUAACGGCUUACCAAGGCAACGAUGCAUAGCCGACCUGAGAGGGUGAUCGGCCACACUGGAACUGAGACACGGUCCAGACUCCUACGGGAGGCAGCAGUAGGGAAUCUUCCGCAAUGGGCGAAAGCCUGACGGAGCAACGCCGCGUGAGUGAUGAAGGUCUUCGGAUCGUAAAACUCUGUUAUUAGGGAAGAACAUAUGUGUAAGUAACUGUGCACAUCUUGACGGUACCUAAUCAGAAAGCCACGGCUAACUACGUG
rnacentral:rRNA from 1 species